rnacentral:rRNA from 1 species
UUUUUCGGUACAACUCGACAAUAGCGCUGUCGAGCGCCGCAAGGGACCUGGCUUCACGGGUGAGUAACGCGUGUGACGUACCCUUUACUACGGAAUACCGCAGGUAAACUUGUGCUAAUACCGUAUGUGCCCUUUGGGAGAAAGAUUUAUCGGUAAAGGAUCGGCCCGCGUUGGAUUAGCUAGUUGGUGGGGUAAAGGCCUACCAAGGCGACGAUCCAUAGCUGGUCUGAGAGGAUGAUCACCCACAUUGGGACUGAGACACGGCCCAAACUCCUACUGAAGGUGCAGUGGGGACUAUUGUCCUAUGGGCGUCCGCCUGAUCCAACCAUGCCGCGUGAGUGAUGAAGGCCCUAGGCUUGUAAAUAUCUUUCACCGGAGAAGACAUUGACUGUAUCCGUAUAUUAAGCCACGACUAACUUCGUGUCACCACCUUCGUUAAUACCCAGUACGCUAGCCUUGUUCUGGAAUUAUAUGGGUGUAUAGACGCACGUAGGCGGAUCGAACUAGUCAGGGAGUAAAUCCCACGCCUCAACCAUGGAAAUACCUUUGACACUGUCGAUCUAGCGGGAAGCACCCAGACGUGAGGGUGGAAUUUCGAGUGUAGGAGGUGAAAUUUGUAGAUAUUCUGGAGAACCACCAGUGGCGAGGGCGGCUCAGUGGUUCCAUAAACUGACGGUGGAGGUGAGAAUGCGUGGGGAGCGAACAGGAUUAGAUACCCUGGUUAGUCCACGCCCGUAACGAGGAAUGUUAGCCGUCGGGCAGUAUUCUGUUCGGGGGGCAGCUAACACAUUAACCAUUUCGCGUGGGGAGUUCGGUCGCAAGAUUAAAAGUCAAAGGAAUGGACGGCGG